UUUCUGGUGGGAAUGGUCCAAUCCCGGAAGUGGAAUGUCGUGGAUAUAGAGUAGAUGACUUUACCCAUUACCUAUGUGUAGCACCACUGGUCAGACGAUGUUGGAUCUGGCCGAGAGCGGUAGGUACUUUGUGUAGCGCAGGAUAGAUGUAUAAAAUAUGAUGUUUAAUGUGUAUUUAAGUGAUUAGACAGGCUGAUUGUGGUUAGUAUAGGUUUUUAGCAGUUAGACUGCUUCAUUCUCUUCCGUGUAUUUUUGUUUAUUAUUCCGUUCUGAGUGUUUUAGUGAGCUAGCUUACAUGCUAUGUUUUCACAUGUAUCAGCGUUGGCAUUCUCCAUUUUGUGUCCUGCACUGCACUCAUAUAAGUAUAUGUAUGUUCUCUUUAUGUUGUUAGGCGUGUGUUGAGGGCAUAUUACCAACGCUGUGUUUCUCCGCUCUAAAACACUCAACAGGUAUGUUAUUUGCACAGGACUUAUGGUGAUUUAAAAUGUGUAUUUUGUAAUGCUCUGAGGUUGCAGUUAAAGUGUGAGUGUGAGACAUCUGAAAGUAGUUUUAUAUAGGCUAUAUAUUACAAAAGUAUUUUUCUAUUCUUAUGUUGUAAUUUUGCAUUUAUUGUUUCAUAUGUUGGGAUUUUAAUUUUAAUGAGAAAUGAAAUUAUUUCUGAGACGAUGUUGGAUCUGGCCGAGAGUGGUGUGUGUUGAGGGCAUAUUACCAACGCUGUGUUUCUCCUCUCUAAAACACUCAACAACAAUAAAUGUCCUGUGCCAAA